rnacentral:rRNA from 1 species
UACGAAGGGGGCUAGCGUUGCUCGGAAUCACUGGGCGUAAAGCGCACGUAGGCGGCUUUUUAAGUCAGGGGUGAAAUCCUGGAGCUCAACUCCAGAACUGCCUUUGAUACUGAGAAGCUUGAGUCCGGGAGAGGUGAGUGGAACUGCGAGUGUAGAGGUGAAAUUCGUAGAUAUUCGCAAGAACACCAGUGGCGAAGGCGGCUCACUGGCCCGAUACUGACGCUGAGGCGCGAAAGCGUGGGGAGCAAACAGGG